rnacentral:rRNA from 1 species
GACGAACGCUGGCGGCGUGCUUAACACAUGCAAGUCGAGCGACGAAACACCUUCGGGUGCGGAUUAGCGGCGAACGGGUGAGGAACACGUGAGGAAUCUGCCUUCCACUCUGGGAUAACUCCGGGAAACCGGGGCUAAUAACCGAUACUUUCAACCGGCGGCAUCGCCGGGUCAAGAGAGUUUUUCGGUGGAAGCUGACCGCGUGGCCUAUCAGCUUGUUGGUGAGGUAAAGGCUCACCAAGGCGACGACGGGUAGCCGGCCUGAGAGGGCGAACGGCCACGCUGGGACAGAGACACGGCCCAGACGCCUACGGGAGGCAGCAGUGGGGAAUAUUGGGCAAUGGAGGAAACUCUGACCCAGCGACGCCGCGUGAGGGAUGAAGGCUUUCGGGUUGUAAACCUCUUUCAGCAGGGAAUAAGCGAAAGUGAAGGUACCUGCAGAAGAAGCACCGGCUAACUAUGUGCCAGCAGCCGCAGUAA